UACGAAGGGAGCUAGCGUUGUUCGGAAUCACUGGGCGUAAAGCGCACGUAGGCGGAUGUGUCAGUCAGGGGUGAAAUCCCGGAGCUCAACUCCAGAACUGCCUUUGAUACUGAGGAUCUUGAGUUCGGGAGAGGUGAGUGGAACUGCGAGUGUAGAGGUGAAAUUCGUAGAUAUUGGGAAGAACACCGGUGGCGAAGGCGGCUCUCUGGACCGAUACUGACGCUGAGGCGCGAAAGCGUGGGGAGCAAACAGG
rnacentral:rRNA from 1 species